AGGAGCACACAGGCAGCAUGUUGGUAGAAAGGACAAAGAGAGAGAAGACUGUUUUAAUUACUUACAUUUUAUAAAUGUAUAUGUAUAUGCUCCCAUGCAUAAGAGCAAUUAGCUCUCGAAGAUCAGAUGUCCGCAGAAGAGUACAGAUUGGAGCAGUUGAGGUUCUGGUUCCCCAAGUUUGCAGGACACACAAUAUAAGACAUGGUGAAGGUUAUGUAUCAAAAGGAAUCAAGGGUAAAAGUUGUCUGCAUCCAGGUCAGAAGUUAGGACCACUCAAUGCAUGGCUGUGUACCAGGGUGUUAGCUCUGCCUUUGCUUCCAGGAAAAGAGAAUACUAGUCAAGCUAUGAGCUUGUGCUCACACAGCUGUGAGACUGAUGGGCAGGAGUUGG